UUCAUACUCCCUCCGUCCGGAAAUACUUGUCGUAGAAAUGGAUGUAUCUAGAUGUAUUUUCAUUCUACAUAUAUUCAUUUUUAUCCAUUUAUGUGACAAGUAAUUCCGGACAGAGGGGGUAUCUA
rnacentral:pre_miRNA from 1 species